UCCCUCUUAGCUCAGUGGUAGAGCGCUUCACUAGUAUGUUCAAGCCACCAAAUACAAUGAAGAGGUCAGUCGUUCAAGUCGGCUAGAGGGAA